UAGGGAAUCUUCCACAAUGGACGCAAGUCUGAUGGAGCAACGCCGCGUGAGUGAAGAAGGUUUUCGGAUCGUAAAGCUCUGUUGUUGGUGAAGAAGGAUAGAGGCAGUAACUGGUCUUUAUUUGACGGUAAUCAACCAGAAAGUCACGGCUAACUACGUGCCAGCAGCCGCGGCAAUACGUAGGUGGCAAGCGUUGUCCGGAUUUAUUGGGCGUAAAGCGAGCGCAGGCGGAAUGAUAAGUCUGCUGUGAAAGCCCACGGCUCAACCGUGGAACUGCAUCGGAAACUGUCAUUCUUGAGUGCAGAAGAGGAGAGUGGAAUUCCAUGUGUAGCGGUGGAAUGCGUAGAUAUAUGGAAGAACACCAGUGGCGAAGGUGGCUCUCUGGUCUGCAACUGACGCUGAGGCUCGAAAGAAUGGGUAGCGAACAGG
rnacentral:rRNA from 1 species